CGAAGGAACGGUCUUUUACUUUCUGGCGGGCAGCGCUGCGGUGGUAUUAGGGGCUGUGAUGGGAGCCACGUGCCUUCCGUUCUCAUUAUCAGAGGCCUACUUCAAAGGCCGGAGUUGGGAAGAUCGAGGGAAGCGGCCAGGAAUGGAGUUCGGAUGAUAGGCAAGUCCACCCACAGGUUUGGAUGAGAGAGAUUUCUACUCCAAAAUCUAUAUAGCUUGACAAGUGUUGGCUCAAGAUCCAGCACAGUGAAAAAGAGGACUUGGAACUGACUGAAGAGGUUUCCAAAUUCAGUAAACCAGAAACCAAAGGAUAACGUUUUCCCCCCCAGAAAAGGUGGCAACAGAAAGGAGUGUUUUACAACAGUUAUUGAUGAAGCCUGUGUUGGAGCUGAAGAAUACCAAAAUUGUCUCUUGAAACAGCAAGCCAAAUUGCUAAGAGAAAAAUAAUUUGAAAAUGAGGAAUUCUUAAAAGCUUUUUUAUACUGAUGACUAUGGGAUGGUUUCAAAUAAAAUAUAAUUUUAGUAAGUGGCUGUUAUCUGAAAGCAAAGCAGAGGAACUGAACAGUUUCACAUGGAACAUCAGUGGUCAAGUGACAGAAAUGUCUUUGAGUUUCAUUAUAAUUUAAUAAAACAAAUCACGUGAGUUUCUAAUUAUUUCACGGUAUCCAGUGAUUUUUCUGUGAAGAAAAAGCUACUCAAAGACAUUGGAAUACAUUCCAGACCUGAAAACUUUGGGUGUUAAAAUACAUUUGCCUCUUUACAAACCCCCACCUUUGCCACAAUUUGAGAGCAGCAAUGGUGGACUGUCAGUGUUCCUUGCACAUUGUGAGAAAGUAUGGGAAGCAUUGUGUGCUCAUAUUGUUCAGCUGCAAUAGUGUUUACUAUAGGUAAGAUUACAUUUGUUUCUUUGGAUGGGUAGAGUAAUGGUUCUGUUGGCCUAUGUUCUAGCAAAUAAAACAAAUGCUUGGAAUACGGAUGAGCUGGAAGCUAAGACUAAAAGAAUACUGUCCCUUUCCAUCACCCAUCCCAGUGAAGGCUGCCAAAAUGACCUACAUAAUUUGUGUUUGCUUGUUUCAAAGCCAUAAAUGUUUAGGCAACAUGACAGCUUGUUUUCACACUAAUCUGUUGAGGCAACAUGUUUGCAGAUGUCUGUGCAGUCAAGUGGAAUUUUAAAAAGCACUUGAGUGAGAAUGAAGAGCUUGUGACAAAAUGGGGCCUGGGGCAACAUGUCUCCAGCUAUUAUCAGGCAAUUCCAUUGUUAUGCCUGGUGCUCUCACAGGAAUAACAAAAAAAAAUUGGGCGAUUUUCCCUCCUACAGGAACAUUCAUUAGAUGGUUGGCGGGUGCAUUGAUGUUCACUUUUUGAAAUAGUUUCUGAAUACAAUUUCUAACUACUUUUUUCCUUCUCAAAUGAUCUAAUGUAAAAAAAAAAUUCUAGAAGGAAGGCAAAGCAACAAACACUAGCAAAGAAUGCUAAGGAGCCACAGUGGUUUCCUAUGAGUCCUUGGAGAAGGUCACAGCACCCACCUCUGCUGAACAAAUACAAGGAUGCCAUCCUGGUCCUGAACCAGUGCCUGUCAUCAGUAAUGGACUGGAUUAAGGCCAGCAAAUUGAAGUUAAAUCCAGACAAAAUAGGUACUCCUGGUCAGUUGUAAGGCAAAUCAGGGUGUGGGAUUACAGCCUGUGUUGGACAGAGUCACACUCCCCCUGAAGGUGCAGGUUUACAGAGUGCUUUUGGAUUCAGCGGUGGCCUGGAAUGCCUUUGCACAAUUAAAACUUGUGUGCCAGUUGCGCCUGUACCUCAAGAUGCCAGACCUGGCCAUGGUUGUCCAUGCUUUAGUCACAUCCCGCCUGGACUACUGCAAUGCUUGCUACAUGGUGCUGCCUUUGAAGAUAGUUUAGAAGCUUCGACUGGUUCAAAGAUCGGCAGCCAGAUUUGUUAAUGUGGGGUUUGUGUAUUGAUAGUGUUUAAAUGGAAUUUGUGUCUUGCAUGUAUUGCAUACUGAUUGCAUCAUCCAGAGUGUACUAUAGUCUGGAAAGAGUUAAUUGGCAAGAAGCUGUGAUGACCUUGAUAUGUGGCUGGAGCUGGGGAGUGUCCAGACACAAGUGUGUAUGUAUUACUGAUUGCAUCUGUUCUGUUCUGCUAUCUGCUGAGAAGUCAAGUCCUGUGUCCAUUGUCUUCAAGUCUGUUUGUCUUUAUUACGGCUUUCAGUAAAACUUGUAUAUAGUUUAA